UAAAGCCAGUCAGACUGAAACAGCUGUCUGUGAUACAUUAAAGGCACGUCUACUGAUAUCUCAUCAGUAUCGCAUUCAAUCUUUAUGCGCAGGGCCGCCAAGAGAUCUCUGCCACACAGGUUCACUGGACAUAAUUGGGAGCAAAUAAAAGAGUGCGUCACGGAUGCGCCGCCACACUUCACUUUGACUGGUUCGGCUUCUUAUGUUAGAAGUGAAGUCCUGUUUCGGACCCCUUGAAGCUCACCCAAGGCAGCUGUUUUUCAUUUCCGAUCAGGGAGCUUUACAGGAAAGGAAGUACUGUACUGUAGGGAAGGCCCGGUCUCUGGCACACGGAGGAGCAGGGAUUAGUGCACAACACCAUCCUCUAUAAGAUAUGGGUUCCUGCCAUUGUAACUUCCUUUGGAUGAUGAAUUUUUGUCCCAACAAAAAGCCUCCGAUGACAAGCAGCAAUCCCACCAGUGCUGCAAUGAGAAUCCAGUGAUACCUCGGCUUCUCUUGUUCCUUCGGAGCUGGUUCAUCAGCUGUCACUCGAGCUGUGGGAAAAACAAGUUUGGAAUUCGAUUCAUUAGAUUUCUACUUAACUCACAGCUCAGGAGAAUUGAAGGUCAGUGGCCAUCCCCUAAUCCAAGCCAGUCACCCCAGCAGAUGUCAGAGAGCCCCUUGCCUCUGGAGGACAGGCCAGCCUAACAGGCAGGUCUGCUGUAGCAGUCUCUCCCUACCCCCAGGGAGCACCAGCCAGGACACAAAACCACACACCUAUUUCAAUAAAGAUGAUAUGCAUGGGUCCACUUGAAGUUCAUAUUUGCAUCUCUAUUUACCUGUCAC